rnacentral:rRNA from 1 species
CCACACUGGGACUGAGACACGGCCCAGACUCCUACGGGAGGCAGCAGUGGGGAAUUUUGGACAAUGGGCGCAAGCCUGAUCCAGCCAUGCCGCGUGCGGGAAGAAGGCCUUCGGGUUGUAAACCGCUUUUGUCAGGGAAGAAAAGGUUCUGGUUAAUACCUGGGACUCAUGACGGUACCUGAAGAAUAAGCACCGGCUAACUACGUGCCAGCAGCCGCGGUAAUACGUAGGGUGCAAGCGUUAAUCGGAAUUACUGGGCGU